UGGGGAAUAUUGCACAAUGGGGGAAACCCUGAUGCAGCAACGCCGCGUGAAGGAAGACGGUUUUCGGAUUGUAAACUUCUAUCAAUAGGGAAGAAAGAAAUGACGGUACCUAAAUAAGAAGCCCCGGCUAACUACGUGCCAGCAGCCGCGGUAAUACGUAGGGGGCAAGCGUUAUCCGGAAUUACUGGGUGUAAAGGGAGAGUAGGCGGCAAGGUAAGCGAUAUGUGAAAGCCUUAGGCUUAACCUGAGGAUUGCAUAACGAACUAUCUAGCUAGAGUACAGGAGAGGAAAGCGGAAUUCCUA
rnacentral:rRNA from 1 species